GGGGUUGUGGCUCAGCGGGUAGAGUGCUUGCCUAGCAUGUGUGAGGCCUUGAGUUCGAUCCUCAGCACCACA
rnacentral:tRNA from 1 species